AAAGUGGACACACCUGUUUCCAUCUCGAACACAGAAGUUAAGCACUUUAACGCUGAUGAUAGUUGGUUAUAUAGCCCGCAAAAGUAGGAAAUCGCCAAAC
rnacentral:rRNA from 1 species